UACAUGGGGUGCAAACGUUGCUCGGAAUCAUUGGGCGUAAAGCGCGCGUAGGCGGUUGCUUAAGUCGGAUGUGAAAGCCCUCGGCUUAACUGAGGAAGUGCAUCCGAAACUGAGCAGCUAGAGUACGAAAGAGGGUCGCGGAAUUCCCGGUGUAGAGGUGAAAUUCGUAGAUAUCGGGAGGAACACCGGUGGCGAAGGCGGCGACCUGGGUCGAGACUGGACG
rnacentral:rRNA from 1 species